GACGAACGCUGGCGGCGUGCUUAACACAUGCAAGUCGAACGGAAAGGCCCUGCUUGCAGGGUACUCGAGUGGCGAACGGGUGAGUAACACGUGGGUGAUCUGCCCUGCACUUCGGGAUAAGCCUGGGAAACUGGGUCUAAUACCGGAUAGGAGCCAUUUUUAGUGGGAUGGUUGGAAAGUUUUUUCGGUGUAGGAUGAGCUCGCGGCCUAUCAGCUUGUUGGUGGGGUAAUGGCCUACCAAGGCGGCGACGGGUGGCCGGCCUGAGAGGGUGGACGGCCACAUUGGGACUGAGAUACGGCCCAGACUCCUACGGGAGGCAGCAGUGGGGAAUAUUGCACAAUGGGCGCAAGCCUGAUGCAGCGACGCCGCGUGGGGGAUGACGGCCUUCGGGUUGUAAACUCCUUUCGCUAGGGACGAAGCUUUUGUGACGGUACCUAGAUAAGAAGCACCGGCUAACUACGUG
rnacentral:rRNA from 1 species